UCUGAAUCUUGCCCUUUUUCUGUCUGGUC
rnacentral:piRNA from 1 species